GAUGAAGAACGUUAGCGAAAUGCGAUAAGUAAUGUGAAUUGCAGAAUUCAGUGAAUCAUCGAAUCUUUGAACGCACCUUGCGCUCUUUGGUAUUCCAAGGAGCAUGCCUGUUUGAGUGUCAUGUAAUUCUCAACCUUUUCUGGCUUGUUAUAAGCUGGUUCAGGCUUGGACUAUGGAAGGUUGCUGGCUUCAUCGAGGUCAGCUCUUCUGAAAUACAUUAGCAAGAUUAUUGCUGCUCAUCUUUAAUAUGAUAAUUAUCUGUAUUAUUGAAGAGUCAGUCUCCUUUAUUGGAAAGUCUUGCUUCAAAUAGUCUCUUUCGAGACAAUACUUGACAAUUUUGACCUCAAAUCAGGUAGGACUACCCGCUGAACUUAAGCAUAUCAAUAAGCGGAGGA
rnacentral:misc_RNA from 1 species